rnacentral:rRNA from 1 species
GAAGUUGCAAAGAACUUUGAAGAGAGAGUUCAAGAGGGCGUGAAACCGCUUAGAAGCAAACAGAUGGACCUGACGAAGAGUCAGUGGAAUUCAGCUCGUUGCUCUACCUCAGCCUGGUGCUUGACUGAACCGCAAGUUUCCGGAUACUGGUGUGGUCAUUGAGUGCCUUUUCCGCCGAUGCGCACUAGAACCUGUGUUGGUGCUGGAUGUAAGGUUGUGGGUGCCGGCCAACCUAGUUGGUGUCCCGCCACUGCCUGAAACCGAGUUACUGGCACAGGAACAUACGAUGCCCGCCUUUACUCUUUUGCGUAGUUAGCCUUGUCAUCUGACCUGCAGUUUGAUGCUUGCAUGACUCUGCGAUGCCUGGCUUUGUGAGYUGCGUAAUCGAGGUGGCGUCGAUUCUGGUGUUUUAGUCAGUAACCCAUCUGACCCGUCUUGAAACACGGACCAAGGAGUCUAACAUGUGCGCGAGUCACUGGGCUGCGAAACCCAAGGGCGCAAUGAAAGUGAAUGCUAGUUCGGCUGGCUGUCAUGGGACCUUUUGCUUGUCAGAGGAGCACCAUGGUCCCGUCCUUGCUGCAUUGUCAGUUGGGCGGAGAUUUAGCGUACACGUUGGGACCCGAAAGAUGGUGAACUAUGCCUGAGCAGGAUGAAGCCAGAGGAAACUCUGGUGGAGGUCC